UACGUAGGUGGCAAGCGUUGUCCGGAAUUAUUGGGCGUAAAGCGCGCGCAGGCGGUUCCUUAAGUCUGAUGUGAAAGCCCACGGCUCAACCGUGGAGGGUCAUUGGAAACUGGGGGACUUGAGUGCAGAAGAGGAGAGCGGAAUUCCACGUGUAGCGGUGAAAUGCGUAGAGAUGUGGAGGAACACCAGUGGCGAAGGCGGCUCUCUGGUCUGUAACUGACGCUGAGGCGCGAAAAGCGUGGGGGAGCAAAACAGGAUUAGACCCGCGUAGUCC
rnacentral:rRNA from 1 species